rnacentral:lncRNA from 13 species
GUUAGAACAACAGGAGCUACGCUAGUCUACACUGUGUUAGAACAACAGGAGCUACACUAGUCUACUGGCCUAGUCUACACUGUGUUAAAACAGGAGCUGGGCUAGUCUAACAGACUUUAGGCCAUUAGGAACCCUGUUAAACAGGUUAGCAUAGCUCCAGUUGUUCUAUGACAGUCUACUGUUAAACAGGUUAGCAUAGCUCCAGUUGUUCUAACUGUUAAACAGGGUUUCCUAAUGGCCUAAAGUCUGUUAUUACAACUGGAGCUACACUAGUGUCCUGUUAAGCAGGUUUUCCUGGAGCUUUCACACACACACAAACCUGCCUACUUUAUAAUGAAUGUCCCCGCUUACACUGAAAACAGUAUGGUGUUACCCUGUACCCUUUCUAACCGCGUGUUACCCUGUACCCUUUCUAACCGCGUUACCCUGUACUCUAACAGCUAAAGGCUAUUGGUAAGCAGCAGCAGGGACCUCAGCGUUACCACUACUUUAGGGCUCAUAAUUAAAACUAAAGCGUGAGGAAUGUUUGAGGAUUAACGAGCGCAUUACGUGGUGUUCAGGGGGAGAGAGAAAGAUGAAAUUCCAGCACCAACAGAAUGCAGGAGGAUUAAAACAGUGGUGAGCUCUUGGUCAAUAUCACCAACACACAAAAGGUCCCCAGCAGGUAGGCUAAGCUGCUUUUGACAGUCACUCCCUCUAAAACCUGGACACUGUGGUGAGCGGCUGACAAACACACACACACAUUUGGCGGCUCUCAUAUAUCAGCCAUCUGUCAGUGUGUGUGUGUACCUGUAUUUCUCCACUGCAUAUUUAAACACAAAGCAAA